CUCUCAUCCAAUUCCUUUUUCUUUGUGAUAUAAUUAUAUUAAAAAAGAUCCCAAAUUGAUCCAUAAGUAAAACCCCGGACCCCUGAAACCCCAAUCCAUGUCAAAGAUCAAGAAAUUAAGAUUUCCUGGUUCUCAGACGGGCCGCGUAAAGGAUAGGCAGACCCUUACGCGGGCCGCGUCCACUUGAAAGAUGACCGGAUAAGCAUCAAGGGCUACGUGUCAUCUGCAUGGCACACCUACUUGUGACUAGUCAAACCUACGCGUAGACUGGGCGGCCACACGGGCCGCGUAAGGUGUUGCUAAGGUGUUACGCGGGCCGCGACAGACCUUAAAUUCACCUAUAAAUAGCUUAGGUCCCAGGCAGUCCUCUGGUGUAGAAAGUUUCUUUUAGAAACGAAGUUAUACUAUCCAAAUUCGAAUAUUGCUUUCAGGAUAGCGAGGCGCUGCUACGAUACCGGGUUACAAGACUAAUCAAUAGGCUAAGCUCUGCCUGCAAUAUCUAAGCUAACCAAUAGGCUAAACUCUGCCGUAUAAAUCUGCAUGCUUAUAAUGUAAUUACAGUAGAUUGGAGUAAGAGUUGGAUACGACACC